AGCGAACGCUGGCGGCAGGCCUAACACAUGCAAGUCGAACGAAGUCUUCGGACUUAGUGGCGGACGGGUGAGUAACACGUGGGAACGUGCCUUUAGGUUCGGAAUAGCUCAGGGAAACUUGUGCUAAUACCGAAUGUGCCCUUCGGGGGAAAGAUUUAUCGCCUUUAGAGCGGCCCGCGUCUGAUUAGCUAGUUGGUGAGGUAAAGGCUCACCAAGGCGACGAUCAGUAGCUGGUCUGAGAGGAUGAUCAGCCACAUUGGGACUGAGACACGGCCCAAACUCCUACGGGAGGCAGCAGUGGGGAAUCUUGCGCAAUGGGCGAAAGCCUGACGCAGCCACGCCGCGUGAAUGGUGAAGGUCUUAGGAUUGUAAAAUUCUUUCACCGGGGACGAUAAUGACGGUACCCGGAGAAGAAGCCCCGGCUAACUUCGUGCCAGCCGCCGCGGUAAAAC
rnacentral:rRNA from 1 species